CUCCCAUGGUGGUGACGACGCGGUGUGUUCAAGGCCCGGGAACGACAUUCACCGCGACAUUCUGAUUCUACGAUUACUAGCGAUUCCUUACUUCACGCAGUCGAGUUGCAGACUGCGAUCCGGACUACGAUUGGUUUUAUGGGAUUAGCUCCACCUCGCGGCUUGGCAACCCUCUGUACCGACCAUUGUAGCACGUGUGUAGCCCAGGCCGUAAGGUCCAUGAUGACUUGACGUCAUCCCCACCUUCCUCCGGUUUGUCACCGGCAGNCUCCUUAGAGUGCCCACCAUAACGUGCUGGUAACUAAGGACAAGGGUUGCGCUCGUUACGGGACUUAACCCAACAUCUCACGACACGAGCUGACGACUGCCAUGCAGCACCUGUCUCAAUGUUCCCGAAGGCACCAAUCUAUCUCUAGAAAGUUCAUUGGAUGUCAAGGCCUGGUAAGGUUCUUCGCGUUGCUUCAAAUUAAACCACAUGCUCCACCGCUUGUGCGGACCCCCGUUAAUUCAUUUGAGUUUUAACCUUGCGG
rnacentral:rRNA from 1 species